rnacentral:rRNA from 1 species
GAUCAUGGCUAAGGAUGAACGCUGGCGGCGUGCCUAACACAUGCAAGUCGAGCGAUUCUCUUCGGAGAAGAGCGGCGGACGGGUGAGUAACGCGUGGGUAACCUGCCCUGUACACACGGAUAACAUACCGAAAGGUAUGCUAAUACGGGAUAACAUAAGAAAUUCGCAUGUUUUUCUUAUCAAAGCUCCGGCGGUACAGGAUGGACCCGCGUCUGAUUAGCUAGUUGGUGAGGUAAUGGCU